CUAGUAGCUGUUCCCUCCGAAGUUCCCUCAGGAUAGCUGGAACUUACGGCAGUUUUAUCAGGUAAAGCGAAUGAUUAGAGGUCUUAGGGUUAAAACAACCUUAACCUAUUCUCAAACUNUAAAUUGGUAAGAAGUCCGACUUGCUUAAUUGAAGCCGGACAGUGAAUGCGAGUUCCUAGUGGGCCAUUUUUGGUAAGCAGAACUGGCGAUGCGGGAUGAACCGAACGCGCGGUUAAGGUGCCAAAGUCGACGCUCAUCAGACCCCACAAAAGGUGUUGGUUGCUCUAGACAGCAGGACGGUGGCCAUGGAAGUUGGAAUCCGCUAAGGAGUGUGUAACAACUCACCUGCCGAAGCAACUAGCCCUGAAAAUGGAUGGCGCUCAAGCGUCGCACCUAUACCGUGCCGUCGGAGCAGAUGCGAAGCUCCGACGAGUAGGAGGGCGUGGGGGUCGUGACGCAGCCUCUGGCGCGAGCCUGGGUGAAACGGCCUCCAGUGCAGAUCUUGGUGGUAGUAGCAAAUAUUCAAAUGAGAGCUUUGAAGACCGAAGUGGAGAAAGGUUCCAUGUGAACAGCAGUUGGACAUGGGUUAGUCGAUCCUAAGAGAUAGGGAAAUUCCGUUUGCAAGCGCCCGAUCUUGGGCCGCCUAUCGAAAGGGAAUCGGGUUAAUAUUCCCGAACCGGGACGCGGAUAUUGCCGUUCGCGGCAGAUGCGGUAACGCAAACGAACCCGAAGACGCUGGCGGGGGCCCUGGGAAGAGUUCUCUUUUCUUUUUAACGAGCUUUCACCCUGAAAUCAGCUUGCCUGGAGAUAGGGUUUAAUGCUCGGUAAAGCACCACACUUCUUGUGGUGUCCGGUGCGCUCUCGACGGCCCUUGAAAAUUCGGGGAAGACAUUGAUUUUCGUGUCCGGUCGUACUCAUAACCGCAGCAGG
rnacentral:ncRNA from 1 species